rnacentral:piRNA from 1 species
UCCCACAUUCACUAGUGGAACUGGUAUC